CUGGCAGGCGGCGAAGAGAAGGACAGAGGGGGAUGAGAGGCGAGGGCGAGAGAUGAGGAAGAGGGAGAGAGGUUGAGGAAGAAGGUUAGAAAUUUACAGUUAUGGGGAGGAGAUGGUCUGCCCUUGACCGAAAAUCAAAAGAAAUUGAGAGAAGGAGAUGAGGCGUGAAUUGCAGUAUAAGGGAUAAGGUUAUGGGCUUUUAAAAACAUUUGGGCUUUUGACUUAGUUAAUCUUUUAAUAGCAAGUAUAAAUUUAUUUAAGCCCACAAUUAUUUCUUUAAUUAUCAUUUCCUAAUUUUUAGUUUUUUUUAAAGACUUUCAUGAAUAAUUUUCUAAAGUAUAGAUUAUUUUGCUAAUAAAGAUCAAUUAGGCCCUUAUGUUUUAUUAUUUGAAUUUAUAUGACUAGGUGCGGCGCGACUAGGAACGUGAACUUUAAAUUCUCGCAGUUAAUUUCAAGUUCAAGUUACAGUUAUAUCGCUAGGGGCCCGCUCAAUGGGUCCAGGACUUCACCGUCCUUGGUAUGCCACAAUGCGAUUUCAUGUUACAGUUAGGGUUGCAACCUAUUCGCCAGGGGCCUGCUCAAUGGGUCCAGGACUUUAAAGUCCUUGGUAUGCCACCGUGCGAAUUUCAGUUAUCAGUAUUACAGUGCAGUGCUUAUGUGUUGACCAUUUUAUUAACGUGGACAAUUAUUGCAUGUUCCCACACUGAGUAUAUUUCAUAUGCUCAUCCCAUAUUUAACAUUUUCA